CUACGGGCUGCUGCAGUGGGGAAUAUUGCACAGUGGGCGCAAGCCUGAUGCAGCCAUGCCGCGUGUAUGAAGAAGGCCUUCGGGUUGUAAAGUACUUUCAGCGGGGAGGAAGGGAGUAAAGUUAAUACCUUUGCUCAUUGACGUUACCCGCAGAAGAAGCACCGGCUAACUCCGUGCCAGCAGCCGCGGUAAUACGGAGGGUGCAAGCGUUAAUCGGAAUUACUGGGCGUAAAGCGCACGCAGGCGGUUUGUUAAGUCAGAUGUGAAAGCCCCGGGCUCAACCUGGGAACUGCAUCUGAUACUGGCAAGCUUGAGUCUCGUAGAGGGGGGUAGAAUUCCAGGUGUAGCGGUGAAAUGCGUAGAGAUCUGGAGGAAUACCGGUGGCGAAGGCGGCCCCCUGGACGAAGACUGACGCUCAGGUGCGAAAGCGUGGGGAGCAAACAGGAUUAGAUACCCCCGUAGUC
rnacentral:rRNA from 1 species